rnacentral:piRNA from 1 species
GAGAAAAAGACUGCCCUGGGCCACACA